rnacentral:rRNA from 1 species
UGAGGAAUAUUGGUCAAUGGAGGAAACUCUGAACCAGCCAAGUCGCGUGAAGGAAGAAUGUCCUAAGGAUUGUAAACUUCUUUAGCGAGCGAGUAAGGACUUCCACGUGAUGGGAGUUUGAAAGUAGCUCGAGAAUAAGUAUCUGCUAACUCCGUGCCAGCAGCCGCGGUAAUACGGAGGAUACGAGCGUUAUCCGGAUUUAUUGGGUUAAAAGGGUGUGCAGGUGGUCCUGCAAGUCAGUGGUGAAAAGCAGAGGCUCAACCUCAGCCUUGCCGUUGAAACUGCAAGACUUGAGAGUACAUGAUGUGGGCAGAAUGCGUAGUGUAGCGGUGAAAUGCAUAGAUCUUACGCAGAACUCCGAUUGCGAAGGCAGCUCACAAAGGUAUGUCUGACACUGAGGCACGAAAGCGUGGGGAGCAAACAGG